rnacentral:rRNA from 1 species
GAUGAACGCUGGCGGCGUGCCUAAUACAUGCAGGUCGAGCGAACGGACGAGAAGCUUGCUUUUCUGAUGUUAGCGGCGGACGGGUGAGUAACACGUGGAUAACCUACCUAUAAGACUGGGAUAACUUCGGGAAACCGGAGCUAAUACCGGAUAAUAUUUUGAACCGCAUGGUUCAAAAGUGAAAGACGGUCUUGCUGUCACUUAUAGAUGGAUCCGCGCUGCAUUAGCUAGUUGGUAAGGUAACGGCUUACCAAGGCAACGAUGCAUAGCCGACCUGAGAGGGUGAUCGGCCACACUGGAACUGAGACACGGUCCAGACUCCUACGGGAGGCAGCAGUAGGGAAUCUUCCGCAAUGGGCGAAAGCCUGACGGAGCAACGCCGCGUGAGUGAUGAAGGUCUUCGGAUCGUAAAACUCUGUUAUUAGGGAAGAACACAUGUGUAAGUAACUGUGCACAUCUUGACGGUACCUAAUCAGAAAGCCACGGCUAACUACGUG